rnacentral:rRNA from 1 species
GCCAGACUCCUACGGGAGGCAGCAGUGAGGAAUAUUGGUCAAUGGGCGAGAGCCUGAACCAGCCAAGUCGCGUGAGGGAGUACUGCCCUAUGGGUUGUAAACCUCUUUUGUCGGGGGGCAAAAGCCGGACGUGUCCGGCUGUGAGAGUACCCGAAGAAAAAGCAUCGGCUAACUCCGUGCCAGCAGCCGCGGUAAUACGGAGGAUGCGAGCGUUAUCCGGAUUUAUUGGGUUUAAAGGGUGCGCAGGCGGAUUUUUAAGUCAGCGGUCAAAUCGUGGGGCUCAACCCCAUCCAGCCGUUGAAACUGGGGAUCUAGAGUGUGCGAGAGGUAUGCGGAAUGCGUGGUGUAGCGGUGAAAUGCAUAGAUAUCACGCAGAACUCCGAUUGCGAAGGCAGCUUACUAAGCCAUAACUGACACUGAAGCACGAAAGCGUGGGGAUCAAACAGGAUUAGAUACCCGAGUA